rnacentral:rRNA from 1 species
AGCAUGUGGUUUAAUUCGAAGCAACGCGAAGAACCUUACCAGGUCUUGACAUCCCCUGACAACCCGAGAGAUCGGGCGUUCCCCUUCGGGGGACAGGGUGACAGGUGGUGCAUGGUUGUCGUCAGCUCGUGUCGUGAGAUGUUGGGUUAAGUCCCGCAACGAGCGCAACCCUCGACCUUAGUUGCCAGCAUUCAGUUGGGCACUCUAAGGUGACUGCCGGCUAAAAGUCGGAGGAAGGUGGGAUGACGUCAAAUCAUCAUGCCCCUUAUGACCUGGGCUACACACGUGCUACAAUGGUUGGUACAACGAGUUGCGAGUCGGUGACGGCGAGCUAAUCUCUUAAAGCCAAUCUCAGUUCGGAUUGUAGGCUGCAACUCGCCUACAUGAAGUCGGAAUCGCUAGUAAUCGCGGAUCAGCACGCCGCGGUGAAUACGUUCCCGGGCCUU